AUGUGGUGUCUAGACAGUGUGCAGACAGCAAGGCAGAGAGCACAUUUUCUACACCCAUCCAUAUGCAUUCCCAUUUCAGCCGAUAGGGCUACCAGAAUUCUCAUCAUCACCACAGCUCAAAAAAGUUCUCCUGAGCGAGCUACCAUUCAGCGCUCAGGCACCCAAAGUACCUUACCCAAGGAUACGAGAGUCAUGCUUCUCAAGCCUUACCACUUGGUCGCUCCGCUAGUCCUGCUCCUCAUGGCCGCCGGCAGCAGCGGCGGCAGCGAUGAUGGUCGGCAGUUCGCUCUCAACGGCUUCGCGGGCGCGAACCUGACGCUCGGCGGCGCAAGCACGGUCAUGCCGAACGGCCUGCUCAUGCUGAACAACGGCGCCACCAGAAAGAUGAAGGGCCAUGCCUUCCAUCCGUCCCCGCUGCCGUUCGGCGCCGGGUCAAACGGCACCGGCCCCGUGCGGUCCUUCUCGACCACCUUCGUCUUCGCCAUCUUCGGCCACGGCCAGCACGCCGACCUUAGCGUCCGCGGUCUGGUCUUUUUCGUCUCUGCGUCCUGGGAGGUGCUCUCCACUGCGUUGGCAGGCCAGUCCUUGGGCCUCAACAAUGGCAACCAGAGCGCCAGCAUCUUCGCCGUGGAGUUCGACACGAUCUAUAAUGCCGAGUUCCGAGACAUCAACAGGUACGUCGGCGUUGACGGUGAUAGCCUAGUGUCCCUCAGUUCCGCCAACACCGGGUACUAUGAUGACGACACCGGGCGGUUACUAAACCUAUCUGUGAUAAGCUGGAAAGCCAUCCAAGUGUGGGUGGACUACGACAGCAGGGCAAAGAUUUUCACUAUGACCAUGGCUCCGCUGGGCAUGGUCAGGCCCAAGAGGCCCAUGUUGCAGACCACCAUUGACCUCUCUGGCGUGGUGCAGAGCAUGGCGUACGUCGGCUUUUCAUCGGCGAUGCACAAUAUCACCUCCGGACACUUCAUCCUCGGCUGGAGCUUCGCGCUGGACGGGCCGGCCCCGGUUCUGGACAUCUCGGUGCUGCCGACCUUGCCAUCGGCCUGGACCAAGAACAACCAGUCCAUCUCACAACCAUCCAUGUCCAUGUCGCUGAAGCUCGGGCUGGCCUUAGCAUCGGUGACGCUGGUUUUGGUUGGCAUCGGAAUCUACAUCUCUUCAAGACGACGUCUCAAUUGCUCCGAGGUGCAAGAGGACUGGGAGGGUGUGCUUCGCAAGCCUGACGUGGAGGUUGCAGUGAAGAGAAUGUCACAUGAUUCAAGGCAAGGGGUUAAGGAGUUCAUCGCCGAGGUGGUGAGCAUUGGUCGUCUUCGACACCGAAAUAUCGCACAGUUGUUGGGCUACUCCAGGCGUAAGGGUGAACUUCUCUUGGUUUAUGACUACAUGAAAAAUGGUAGUCUUGACAAGUACCUACACACAAGAAAUGGCCCAACUCUAUGUUGGUCCCAGAGGUAUUCAAUCAUCAAAGGUGUGGCAUCAAGCUUAUUGUAUCUACAUGAGGAAUGGGAGCAGGUCAUCAUCCACCGAGAUAUAAAGGCAAGUAAUGUGCUCUUGGACACCAAGAUGAAUGGACGGUUGGGUGAUUUUGGUCUUGCAAGGAUAUAUGACCACGAAACUGCCGCUGAAACCACCCAUGUGGCUGGCACCCUGGGAUAUCUUGCACCAAAACUCCCGCGCGCCGGGAGGCUAACACCUUUCUCUGAUGUAUAUGCAUUUGGCGUAUUUCUCCUAGAGGUCACAUGUGGACGAAGGCCAAUCUUCAUCGAUGAGCAAAACAACCGGGUAUUGUUGGUCGAAUGGGUCCUUGAGCACCACCACAAUGGAUCAAUGCCCGACACGGUGGAUCCACGACUCGGAGGGGAAUUCAACACGGAGGAGGUAACCAUCGUGCUCAAACUAGGUUUACUAUGCACGUACCCAUCACCCACUGCACGGCCUAUCAUGCGAAAGGUCAUGCAGUACCUCGAACAUGGUCAAUCGCUUCCUGAUUUAUCUCCGGCCUACAUAAGCUACGUAAUGAUGGCCCAAAUGCAAAAUGAAGGAUUUGAUUCACACAACAAGCCAUGUUCUCAGCCCGCAAUGAGUGUCGCCACUGUAUCGGUACAAGUGGUUAAGAAAGAUUUCAUGCAUAGCUUUGAAGUGUACCUUCACUGGUCGAUCAGUUCAAACGGCCGACUUGAGUCAAUGGCUACUACUACGUGCCAGGCGUGCACGCGCCGUUGUGUGUCCUUUGAUUUGAGCAUCGAUCGAGCACCUAUGGGGAUUGGGGAAUUCAUGGAGCAGCCGGCUCGGCAGAGUGCUGCUCAGCUUUCGACGCUACUGUCAAGAUUCAAGGUCACCACAGACAGCAACGAGUCCAGCCACACCGAGCUGCCUGAGGCCGUCAUGGCCGGCCUCGUGGGCCUCCUUCGUCAGCUCACAUGUGUUUGGUUAUCCGGCAAGCGCUUGCUUUGCCUGGCCAAGCAAGGGAGCGAUGAAUUUGGUUUAUGA
rnacentral:rRNA from 1 species